rnacentral:rRNA from 1 species
AAUAUUGGACAAUGGGCGAAAGCCUGAUACAGCAAUGAUGCGUGUGUGACGAAGGACUUCGGACAGUACAGUACUUUACGGUGGGUGGAAGGGCAGUAAGAUAAUACCUUGAUGUUUUGACGUUACCGACAGAAUAAGCACCGGCUAACUCCGUGCCAGCAGCAGCGGUAAUACGAAGGGUGCAAGCGUUAAUCGGAAUUACUGGGCGUAAAGCGCGCGUAGGUGGUUUGUCAAGUUGGAAGUGAAAGCCCCGGGCUCAACCUGGGAACUGCUUUCAAAACUGGCUAGCUAGAGUAUGGCAGAGUGUGGUGGAAUUUCCUGUGUAGCGGUGAAAUGCGUAGAUAUAGGAAGGAACAUCAGUGGCGAAGGCGACCACCUGGGCUAAUACUGACACUGAGGUGCGAAAGCGUGGGGAGCAAA